rnacentral:lncRNA from 1 species
UAGUCGUAAAAGUCCUGUUUGUUAAUAAUCAAGCUUAUACGUCUUCUGGAUUGAAAAAUCUCUAGAAACAACUUGGAGAAAAGUUAUGCAAAUCGGUAAGUCUCGUUUGUUUUAAGAAUACACUCUUGCAUCCUCUGAAUAGAAACGUCCCGAGAAUGCAUUUGUAGAAUAAAUUCAUAGUUUAAUUCCAGAAAAGUUUCUUAUUUGGAUAGUUGUAGUGAUUAGAAUGUAAAUAGUUAAUCUCAUUUCAUUCCUAAAGAAAACGUAGGUUCCCUCUGAUCACCGACAAUUUCUAACCUGGUGUUACCGAUUUACUAGUAAGACACCUUUCUAGAGGAGGGCUUUCGUACUUAACAACGUUUAUGCUGUAAGUGAUUAAUAUAAAAAUAAGAAGAAUUGGUAAGACUGAAAUUAAGAAAACUAUCCAUCAAAGUUUAAAAAAAAAAUACCGGAUGUAAGCAAAUUUAGACAACAGUAAUGUUUUCUUUGGUAUGACCAUCUGUAACUAGAAACAUAAACUUUUUCUGGAUUUACCGUCAACAGAAACACUAAAAUCUAAACGUAAACACUGUAAAAUCGGAAAUGUACAAAUUUUGUCUUAGAUGUAUGAUUUUUUUAUUAGUUGUUAGUGACUUUGAACUAGAUGUCAAUAAAUGGGAGUACUCUAAGAUCUGUACUUAGUGUUUUUUUGUUGUUAUGCCUCAUAUUACGAAGUCCAUCUGUCACAUGUUCAUUGUCCUUGACCUCAUUUCCAUGGUUCAGUGACCACUUAAAAAAAUUAAGAUUUUUUGCAAUUUUAAUAUCUCUCUUACUAUGAGUAAAAGGGUAACUACGUGUAUCUUUGGUAUGUACGUACCUUGCAAGGUCCUUAUGCCCGUCAGACAGUUUUCACUUGACCUCGACCUCAUUUAAUGGAUUCGCGAAGAUUAAGUUUUGAUGGUCAAGUCCUUAUCUCAAAUACUAUGAGCCAUAGGUCUAGUUUAUUUGGUGUACAGAAGUAUUGUAAGGUGUACAUGCCCAUCUGGCAGGUGUCAUCUGACCUUAACCUCGUUUUUAUGGUUGAGCGGAUAUGGUCAAGCUUUUGUGUUUUGGUCUGGUUUUCUUAUACUGUAUGCAAUAGGUCUACUAUAUUUGGUGUAAGGAAUGAUUGUAAGGUAUACAUGUCCAACUGGCAGUUGCAAUCUGACCUUGAACUCAUUUUCAUGGUUCAGUGGUCAAAGUUAAGUUUUUGAGUUUUGGUCUUUUUCGAAUACUAUAUGCAAUAGGUCAACUAUAUUUGGUGUAUCGAAAUAUUUUAUGAUGUAUAUGUCAGUUUCAACGGUUUUAUUUGACUGUGACCUCAUUUUCACGGUUCAUUGCUCAGGGUUAGUUUUUGUGUGUUUGAUCUGUUUUUCUGAAAUUAUAAGCAAUAUCUCAGCUAUAGUUGUUGUAUGGAAGGAUUGUGUGAGGUGUACAAUGUCUGCCUUGCAUGGUUCAUCUGAUAAUGACCUUAUUUUCACGGUUCAUGGUCAAUGUUUGGUUUUCUUGGUUAAGUCUGUUCUUAGAAACAAUAAGCAAUAAGUUAAAUUCAUUAAGUGUGUUGGAUCAUUGUAAGGUGUACAUGUAUUUUUCGGUUUUUUAUAUGACCUUGACCUCAGUUCCUUGGAUCAUGUUACGUUUAUGUGAUACUUGUAGUAAAACUUUAUAUUUCGGACUAUCAGCAUAAUAUCAAUGGUAAGUAAAGAAAGCGAGACAUUUCAGCGUGUGCACUCUUGUUUAUAAAUACCCCAAAUGUCAGGAGCUUCAUGUCAAAUAGUCACCAAAAAGGAAUAGCAAAAUUCAUUUAAACUCAAAUUAGCGGGGGAAGUUGUUACCGUUGUUUCUUAUUGUAUCUUUUUAUAAAAUAUGUCAUACCUUACAUGUUUAUAUGUUUGUACCGAAUCACUGAACGUAUAAAUGUAAAUGUUGGCAAUACCAAUGUUUUUGAAUAUCCAGGUGCAGUUCACGAUUUCUGAAUGCAUACAAAAUGACCAAUUAUAGAUAAAAAAAAUAACUCGAAUAAGUCACCUUAAAGCAGACGCAUAUGUAGAGCUUUAUGUUUUUUAAUAGUUUAUACUUUUAAGACAAUUUUGAACAACUUAAAUAUCAGGUAUGGUAUAAAUCAAAUAUGAGAAUUUGAGUCAAAUCGGUGAACAUGAAUAAAAAGUAAAAUAGCAAAAGUAAUGAACUCCGAAGAAAAUUAUAAAUGGAAAUUCCUUAUGCAAAUGGUAAAAUCAAAAAUUUAAAUACAUCAAACGAAUUGAUAACAACUGUGAUACGUUUUUAACAUGAAAGAAGAAUAGGGAAAAUACGACAAUUCUAAGUUUGAGUCACCUGAAUUUGGAAUCAUAUUUUCGUGAGUGGAGAGCUAUUUUGUUUUUGAACAAGCGUCUUUAGAUAAUUUAAAUCUAGAAUUAUGCGAAAUAACAAUAUUUUGCGGUCUAUAACAAACUGCGUGGAUUGGCACGGAUUGCGUCAUUUUGCUAUCUUCGUAGUACUAUGAGUAGCAGCUUUGCCAGAACGGCAUUUUGUUACAGUUUGUCUGUUUUGAAGACGUGUGCAUCAUACGUGAGUCAUAAAGAUAAUGGUAGAGACUGUCGUUAACAUGUCUUUAGCUAAAACUGUGUAAAGUGCCAUUGUUUUCUAAAUUAAACCGCUAAUGAUAUGGUCAAGACGUUACAUUAGGUAGUAACAUUCAUAAGAUAUAUUUUUCAAAUAGAAUUAAAUAAAUGCAUCGAGUAUUUAAAAUUCAUUUAGAGUAGCAAAUAUUUCCUUUAGAAGAAAUUAUUGCGAAAACACUUUUUUCCAGGACACCUUGUUUUGCUGUUUUUACAGGCUGUUAGCUGUAAAGGUAAACAUCUUACAGAGUAAUAUACAACCGUUUGGACUUAGGGUUUGUAAAGCUCUUAAAAUGCAUGUGGCCUUUAAAUGAUUUUGAUUCGAGCGUUAGUGAUGAAUCUUUGUAGACGAAAAAAGUAAAAUCACAAAAUUACUGAAUUCCGAGGAAAAUUCAAAACGGACAAUCCCUAAUCAAAUGGCAAAAUCAAAAGGUCAAACACAUCAAACGAAUUGAUAACAACUGUCAUAUUCCUGACAUGGUACAGGCAUUUUAUUGUGGAAAAUGGUGGAUUGAACCUGGUUUUAUAGCUAGAUAAACCUCUCACUUGUAUGACAGUCAAAUUCCAGUAUUUUGACAACGAUGCGUGAACAAAACGAAGACAGAAUAGGUUAAAAUAUGAAUAAUAGUGGUACAGCAGUCACCAUUGUGUUAUAAUUUUACUCACCGAAAAAAAACAAAACAAAUAUGUAACAACGAAACACAAAAUGACAUAUACACGGAAGCGUGUCUGGCGUCCACAACUUUAAUCCAAGUUUCAAUGUUAAGUUUAUUUUCAUCUCAAAUAAGAGAGAGAUAUUUGCACAAAUUUUGUUUCNNNNNNNNNNNNNNNNNNNNNNNNNUCAUCUUAAUAAAGUUUUUUAACAACUUGUAUAGAUUAAAUGAAUUAUGUAAAAUUCAAUCUCUUGGUUUGAAACCAAUGUUGCUUUUUUUUUUAUUAGUAACACAUAAUAUACAUUUCACAUCCAAUUUUUUUUAUGGGAAAUAAUUCUUAUACUAAAGCAACCAAAAAUGUCAGUAUUCACCUCAUGAAACUAACAAAAAAUUUAAAGUAGACUUAUCAAGAAGGGAUAUAGUUACGAUCUGAAUGUCAGGUCAAUAAAGAUGCUUAUUUUGGCGUUAUAUAUUGAUUCACUUAUGGGUCUUUGCAUCGGAACUAAACACAUUUUAUUAUUAAAACAAACCAAGUUGUUUUGCAUGACACGGGUUAUGUUCUUCUCGAUAUAUGUUUGAUGGUAUGAACUAAACCCUAACGGGAAGGAUUGUGCCUGAUUUAUUCAAGAUGUGAAAUCAUAUCUUCAAUCAGUUUAAUUGAAGUUGGAGCUGGCAUUGUCAAGUUAACUGCUAGUAGUCGUUGUUAUUUAUGUAUUAUUGUCAUAAUGUUUAUUUUUUUGGUUACAUCUUCUGAAAUCAGACUCGGACUUCUCUUGAAUUGAAUUUUAAAUGUGCGUAUUCGUUAUGCCAUUUAUUUUCUACAUUGGUAGAGGUAUAGGAGGGAGAGGUGAGAUCUCAUUAACAUGUUUAACACCCGCCGGAAUUUUGCGCCUGUCCCAGUCAGGAGCCUCUGGCUUUGUAAGUCUUGUAUUCUUUUAAUUUUUAGUUUCUUGUGUACAAUCCGGAAUUAGUAUGGCGUUCUUAUCAUGAACUAGUAAAUAUUUGUUUAGGGGCCAGCUGAAGGACGCCUCCGGGUGCGAGAAUUCGCUACAUUGAAGCCUGUUAGUGACCUGUGUCUGUCUGUGUUUUUUUCUAUGUCAGGUUGUUUCUCUUGACGAACAUUCCCUUUCCAUAUCUAAUUUGAAUACUUUACUUCGUAGAAAUCGGUGUGAGAUAUCGCCGACAAGAAGAAGAUUAAACCGAUGAACGAAUCGCAAGUUGAUAUGCUUCUUGUGGGUCGAUUUAACAUCGUAUUGACCUCAAAUGUUUUUUACCUACAGAAAGCUAAGCACCAAUAUAUAUUAAAAACAAAUGUAUAUGUGAUCACAUUCUACCGAAUCACUAAUCCUUAAACAUUUUCGAUAUAUAAUAUCAUAGUAUGAUAGUCAUUUGCAUCUCACACAUUUUGUUAAAUUUGUUUUUGUUGUCAAUAUUAUGAUCUUUUCUGGAACUAUACAAAUGGUUUUUGAGGAAAAUAAAGAUCAUCCAUUAAUUAAACUUUUAAAACUAUGUUUUUUUAUUUCAAUUUACCAUAAGCAGAGUCUUCUGGUAAAACAGGUAUUUGUGUCUGUUUUAUUAUGUAUACAUGCUACCAUGCUUACUCAGGAAUACAUAUAUUGAAAGUUACUGUUUAGUCUCAUGUGCUUUUUAAUUUGUCGACAAAAAAAAAUAAGUAUGCAAUUAAAUAGCACAACACGGAACAAUAAUUAUGAUUAAAAACUUUUUGUUUGUUUAUUAUUCAAAGAGAAGCAACGCUGGAUAGUUCUAAUUUAUUAUGAAACUUAUACAUAUUAUUGUUUUAAGCAAAUUGUUUUUUUUUUAAUCAUUUUAUUACUAGCUCUGACAUGCUUCAACUGUCCAGUAAUUCGACAUCCACGUUUUUGUCAACACGUCCAAGAAUGCUCUGAUAAUCAGGUAAGAAUAUUUAACUUUACGCAUUUUUCUACAAACGGUCAAAGUCGAAAUAUUUAUAUUUUGUGAAAUGUGUUUCUUUUUUCAACUGAUUUGUUAUGUCUGUUUCAGCUUUAUAGUCAGGGCUCUAGAAAAUCUAACAGGACAUUGUGGUUUAUCGACGUAUGGUGUUGUCUCAUCAUGAAAGCAUCAUAUUGAUUUUGUUCUCACAUCGAAUAGCAGAAAAUCAUUAGAAAAGUAGUUUGUGUUAGUCCUUCUCAGAAUAACUCUACUUUCUAAACAAUUUGAGUAAUAAUAGAACUACAAUAUCUAAUAUUUAUGUGAUUUCCCCUAGAUAUGUGGUGUAGAACGGAUAACUGACAAAACGGGGGAGAUAGUCUAUAAAACUGGAUGUAUGGCUC